CUUGACCGAGCCGAGGUACAGCGGCCGCCCUUCGGGGCGCUCCUGUCCGUAGGUGGCGAUCAGCGCCUGCGCCUC
rnacentral:antisense_RNA from 1 species